UACAGGGGGGGGCAAGCGUUGUUCGGAAUUACUGGGCGUAAAGGGCUCGUAGGCGGCCAACUAAGUCCGACGUGAAAUCCCCAAGCUUAACUUGGGAACUGCGUCGGAUACUGGAUGGCUUGAAUUCGGGAGAGGGAUGCAGAAUUCCAGGUGUAGCGGUGAAAUGCGUAGAUAUCUGGAGGAAUACCGGUGGCGAAGGCGGCAUCCUGGACCGACAUUGACGCUGAGGAGCGAAAGCUAGGGGAGCAAACGGG
rnacentral:rRNA from 1 species